rnacentral:tRNA from 1 species
GCUGGAUUAGCUCAGUUGGUAGAGCACAUUCAUGGUAAGAAUGAGGUCCUGAGUUCAAUUCUCAGAUCCAGCU